GUGGUUGUAGCUCAACUGGUUAGAGCACCGGAUUGUGGUUCCGGGGGUUGGGGGUUCAAGUCCCCUCAGCCACC
rnacentral:tRNA from 1 species